AACAUCGCGCACCUGCGGGAACCUGCGGAAGGAUCAUUACCGAGUUUACAACUCCCAAACCCCUGUGAACAUACCUAUACGUUGCCUCGGCGGAUCAGCCCGCGCCCUGUAAAACGGGACGGCCCGCCCGAGGACCCUAAACUCUGUUUUUAGUGGAACUUCUGAGUAAAACAAACAAAUAAAUCAAAACUUUUAGCAACGGAUCU
rnacentral:misc_RNA from 1 species